rnacentral:rRNA from 1 species
UCCGUUAAUUGAUCAGGACGUGCUUGCACUGAAUGAGAUUUUAACACGAAGUGAGUGGCGGACGGGUGAGUAACACGUGGGUAACCUGCCCAGAAGCAGGGGAUAACACCUGGAAACAGAUGCUAAUACCGUAUAACAGAGAAAACCGCCUGGUUUUCUUUUAAAAGAUGGCUCUGCUAUCACUUCUGGAUGGACCCGCGGCGCAUUAGCUAGUUGGUGAGGUAACGGCUCACCAAGGCGAUGAUGCGUAGCCGACCUGAGAGGGUAAUCGGCCACAUUGGGACUGAGACACGGCCCAGACUCCUACGGGAGGCAGCAGUAGGGAAUCUUCCACAAUGGACGAAAGUCUGAUGGAGCAACGCCGCGUGAGUGAAGAAGGGUUUCGGCUCGUAAAGCUCUGUUGUUAAAGAAGAACGUGGGUGAGAGUAACUGUUCACCCAGUGACGGUAUUUAACCAGAAAGCCACGGCUAACUACGUGCCAGCAGCCGCGGUAAUACGUAGGUGGCAAGCGUUAUCCGGAUUUAUUGGGCGUAAAGCGAGCGCAGGCGGUCUUUUAAGUCUAAUGUGAAAGCCUUCGGCUCAACCGAAGAAGUGCAUUGGAAACUGGGAGACUUGAGUGCAGAAGAGGACAGUGGAACUCCAUGUGUAGCGGUGAAAUGCGUAGAUAUAUGGAAGAACACCAGUGGCGAAGGCG